AGCUCCAAUAGCGUAUAUUAAAGUUGUUGCAGUUAAAAAGCUCGUAGUUGAAUCUCGGGCCUGGCUGGCCGGUCCGCCUCACCGCGAGUACUGGCUCGGCCGGGUCUUUCCUUCUGGGGAGCCUCAUGCCCUUCACUGGGUGUGCUGGGGAACCAGGACUUUUACUUUGAAAAAAUUAGAGUGUUCAAAGCAGGCCUAUGCUCGAAUACAUUAGCAUGGAAUAAUAAAAUAGGACGUGCGGUUCUAUUU
rnacentral:rRNA from 1 species